GACUCAGUGGUCUAGCGGUUAUGAUAUCUGUCUAACAUUUAAGAAAUAGCUCUUCACUACACAGAUGGUUCCAGGUUCAAUUCCUGGCUGAGUCA